rnacentral:rRNA from 1 species
AUUGAACGCUGGCGGCAGGCCUAACACAUGCAAGUCGAGCGGGGUUUUCGGACCUAGCGGCGGACGGGUGAGUAAUGCGUAGGAAGCUACCCGAUAGGGGGGGAUACCAGUUGGAAACGACUGUUAAUACCGCAUAAUGUCUACGGACCAAAGUGUGGGACCUUCGGGCCACAUGCUAUCGGAUGCGCCUACGUGGGAUUAGCUAGUUGGUGAGGUAAUGGCUCACCAAGGCGACGAUCCCUAGCUGGGUUGAGAGGAUGAUCAGCCACACUGGAACUGAGACACGGUCCAGCCUCCUACGGGAGGCAGCAGUGGGGAAUAUUGGACAAUGGGCGCAAGCCUGAUCCAGCCAUGCCGCGUGUGUGAAGAAGGCCUUCGGGUUGUAAAGCACUUUCAGUAGGGAGGAAGCGUUGUGUGUUAAUAGUACACAGCGUUGACGUUACCUACAGAAGAAGCACCGGCUAACUCUGUGCCAGCAGCCGCGGUAAAAC